rnacentral:rRNA from 1 species
CAAAAACAUAGCUGAGAAUAAAAUUCAAGGUGUAACCUGCCCAGUGGUUAAUAAUUUAGAAUAACGAUCUUAAAAUUUAACUAAACGGAUGCGGUAUCUUAACCGUAAUAAAGUAGCAUAAUCACUCGCCACUUAAUUGGUGGAUGGUAUGAAUGGUUGAACGAAUAUUUAACUGUCUUAUAUAAAAAAUUUUGAAAUUAAAAUAAUAGUAAAGAUGCUAUUUAAAACUGUAAGACGAAAAGACCCUAUAGAGCUUAACUAUUUUUUUUUACUUAUAUUAAUAAUUUUAAAAAAUUAUAAGUAGAGAAUUAGGUAGUUUAGUUGGGGCGACUACCUUUUAUUAAUAUCAAAGGUAAACAAAAUAAAUUAAUUUAUUUAUUGUAUAAUAUAUCAAUUUAACAAUUAUAAAAAUAGGUAAUAAUGACCCGUUAUUAUUAAAAAAUAAAAAUAGCGAUUAAUAAAUAAAAGCUACCUUAGGGAUAACAGGAUAAUUUUAAUUUAGAGACCAUAUCAAAAUUAAAGUUUGUCACCUCG